AAAGUUCUCAGAGUCAAUGAGCAGAUUCUUGAAAAUGGCAGAAGAGGAUAUCAUCAGAGUCCAAGCCCAUGAAAGUGUUGCUUUAUCUCUAGUAAAGGAGAUCACAGAGUACUUCCAUGGCAACUCUGCCAAAGAAGAAGCUCAUCCAUUUAGAAUUUUCAUGGUGGUAAGAGAUUUCCUAACAAUUCUUGAUGGAGUCUGCAAAGAAGUCGGAAUGAUAAACGAGCGGACGAUUGUAAGUUCUGCCCAUAAAUUUCCAGUUCCAGUGAAUCCAACA
rnacentral:misc_RNA from 1 species